UGAGGACUGGGGCGCCGACCAAUUGAUUUGGCACUUGGACGAGCGGAUGAACUGCAAAAGAAGCGGAGACCAAAGGCAGAUGAAAAAAGAGAGAAGAAAGAAAAGUGAAAAAUCCUGGAAAAUCAAAAGGUGCACAGGACUCUGAUGAUAUUUGCAACUUCACUCCAUUUGUCUGCGCUGACUUUUCCCGACUAAAAAUGGAAAUACGAAUGGCAACAAGGACGAGAGGGGAACAAGGACGUUAAGAUGUUUAUGGCUUGUCAAGGAUUAUUGUUAUCGCCAGCUAGCCAGAAUGCAUUGUACCUUGUGACUCCCCAGGGACCAGGACAUCCCCUUGAAAGCCAAAAUCCCAAAACAAAAACAGUAAACAGUCAACGGUAAACCGUAAACAACAAACAACAUCAUCUCACAUUUGAAACAGAUGACAGCACAGCAACACAUAAUUAAAGGCCUCCCGGAGGAGACCUUUCGCUGCUGGCUUUUGGUAGCUUUUUGGGUUUUGGUUUGGGUUCUGGUGCGGGUUCGGGUUCUGGUUCUGGUUCGAAUGUGACACAAAAAAAACCAUCUCAUACCCGAAAUCGGAAAAUUUUAAUCUGAAAUCCGGAUUCGGGAAUCAGGGGCCCGGAAACCACGCAGUCCUUUUUCUGGAAAUUACGGCCUAAAACAGAGUCUUUGCUCACAAGAGCAUGUAUGGCUAAUCGCUUAAGUUGUGGACGUUUCCAGAGCUUCCCAGGAGGCUCAUUAAAAUUAAAAUUAUAA